GCGCAGGCGGUUUCUUAAGUCUGAUGUGAAAGCCCCCGGCUCAACCGGGGAGGGUCAUUGGAAACUGGGAGACUUGAGUGCAGAAGAGGAGAGUGGAAUUCCAUGUGUAGCGGUGAAAUGCGUAGAUAUAUGGAGGAACACCAGUGGCGAAGGCGGCUCUCUGGUCUGUAACUGACGCUGAGGCUCGAAAGCGUGGGGAGCGAACAGGAUUAGAUACCCUGGUAGUCCACGCCGUAAACGAUGAGUGCUAAGUGUUGGAGGGUUUCCGCCCUUCAGUGCUGCAGCAAACGCAUUAAGCACUCCGCCUGGGGAGUACGACCGCAAGGUUGAAACUCAAAGGAAUUGACGGGGGCCCGCACAAGCGGUGGAGCAUGUGGUUUAAUUCGAAGCAACGCGAAGAACCUUACCAGGUCUUGACAUCCUUUGACCACUCUAGAGAUAGAGCUUCCCCUUCGGGGGCAAAGUGACAGGUGGUGCAUGGUUGUCGUCAGCUCGUGUCGUGAGAUGUUGGGUUAAGUCCCGCAACGAGCGCAACCCUUAUUGUUAGUUGCCAUCAUUUAGUUGGGCACUCUAGCGAGACUGCCGGUGACAAACCGGAGGAAGGUGGGGAUGACGUCAAAUCAUCAUGCCCCUUAUGACCUGGGCUACACACGUGCUACAAUGGGAAGUACAACGAGUUGCGAAGUCGCGAGGCUAAGCUAAUCUCUUAAAGCUUCUCUCAGUUCGGAUUGUAGGCUGCAACUCGCCUACAUGAAGCCGGAAUCGCUAGUAAUCGCGGAUCAGCACGCCGCGGUGAAUACGUUCCCGGGCCUUGUACACACCGCCCGUCACACCACGAGAGUUUGUAACACCCGAAGUCGGUGAGGUAACCUUUUUGGAGCCAGCCGCCUAAGGUGGGAUAGAUGAUUGGGGUGAAGUCGUAACAAGGUAGCCGUAUCGGAAGGUG
rnacentral:rRNA from 1 species